CCUACGGGUGGCAGCAGUGAGGAAUAUUGGUCAAUGGACGAGAGUCUGAACCAGCCAAGUAGCGUGAAGGAUGACUGCCCUAGGGGUUGUAAACGUCUUUGAUAAAGGAAUAAAACGAGGCACGUGGGCCGUUUUGCAUGUACGGUAUGAAUAAGGAUCGGCUAACUCCGUGCCAGCAGCCGCGGUAAUACGGAGGAUCCGAGCGUUAUCCGGAUUUAUUGGGUUUAAAGGGAGCGUAGAUGGGUUGUUAAGUCAGUUGUGAAAGUUUGCGGCUCAACCGUAAAAUUGCAAUUGAUACUGGCAGUCUUGAGUACAGUUGAGGUAGGCGUAAUUCGUGGUGUAGCGGU
rnacentral:rRNA from 1 species